rnacentral:rRNA from 1 species
AUGAACGCUAGGCGGCAGGCUUAAUACAUGCAAGUUGAGGGGCAGCAUGAUAUACGCGAGUAUAUUGAUGGCGACCGGCGGACGGGUGAGUAAUAGGUAGGAGACCUACCUCAUACAGGGGGAUAGCAUAGAGAAAUCUGUGGUAAUACCCCAUGAGGUUAUAUGAAUAGAGGCAUAUAAUCAAAGCAUAAGCGAUUAUGCGGUAUGAGAGGGGCCUACUGACCAUUAGCUAGUUGGUGAGGUAAGGGCUCACCAAGGCGAAGAUGGUUAGGGGUUUUGAGAGAGAGACCCCCCCACAUUGGAACUGAGAGACGGUCCAGACUCCUACGGGAGGCAGCAGUAGGGAAUAUUGGGCAAUGGGCGAAAGCCUGACCCAGCCAUGCCGCGUGAAGGAAGACGGCCUUAUGGGUUGUAAACUUCUUUACUACGCGAAUAGAGGUUAGUACGAGAUACUAAUAGGAAGGUAGUGUAGUAAAAAGCACCGGCUAACUCCGUG